CAACCCCUACUUGUUAGUUGUCCAUCAUUCAGUUGGGCACUCUAGCGAGACUGCCGGUAAUAAACCGGAGGAAGGUGGGGAUGACGUCAAAUCAUCAUGCCCCUUAUGACCUGGGCUACACACGUGCUACAAUGGUUGGUACAACGAGUUGCGAGUCGGUGACGGCGAGCUAAUCUCUUAAAGCCAAUCUCAGUUCGGAUUGUAGGCUGCAACUCGCCUACAUGAAGUCGGAAUCGCUAGUAAUCGCGGAUCAGCACGCCGCGGUGAAUACGUUCCCGGGCCUU
rnacentral:rRNA from 1 species